UACGUAGGGUGCGAGCGUUAAUCGGAAUUACUGGGCGUAAAGCGUGCGCAGGCGGUUUUGUAAGUCUGACGUGAAAUCCCCGGGCUUAACCUGGGAAUUGCGUUGGAGACUGCAAGGCUGGAGUCUGGCAGAGGGGGGUAGAAUUCCACGUGUAGCAGUGAAAUGCGUAGAGAUGCGGAGGAACACCGAUGGCGAAGGCAGCCCCCUGGGCUAACACUGACGCUCAGGCACGAAAGCGUGGGGAGCAAACAGG
rnacentral:rRNA from 1 species